GCCGCUUUAGCUCAGUUGGUAGAGCAGCUGAUUCGUAACCAGCAGGUCGUCGGUUCAAGUCCGAUGAGCGGCU
rnacentral:tRNA from 1 species